rnacentral:rRNA from 1 species
GGUAGCCAUGUGCGGAGCGGAUAACCGCUGAAAGCAUCUAAGUGGGAAGCCCACCUCAAGAUGAGUGCUCUCACUACUUUAAGUAGGUAAGGUCACAGGCAGAACACCUGUUGAUAGGCGCUAGGUGGAAGCGAAGUAAUUCGUGCAGCCGAGGCGUCCUAACUGACCGAGGGCUUGACCUCA